GAAAACCUAAACCAGCAAAUCAUAGACAUUUGAAAGACGAAAAAAAACGAAAAAACUUGUUCCUGAAUUGAGCUAUAUAUAUGGUACAUAUACUCUAUCAAGGGAUUCCUGAACUACCUGCCUGCUAACUCAUUCCUGAAAGGUGGGCUGGAUAUGAAUCAUCACGAUGAACCACUUAACGUCGGACUGCUUGGUAGGAACCUAAUACGACUACACUGUUUCAACUUUGUGAGAGCUUCUUGUGUCUUCCCGCACAGAAGAUCCAAGUAUACUGCAGUAAGAAUAGCUUCAGGACGUUGAGGUUUUGUCGAUAGUGCUUGCAUAACAUAAGUUUGAGCCUGUUCAAUGUCUCCUUGCAUAGCAGCCAUGGCAGCUAAGUUUGUGAAGAGAAUUCCGCGGGCCUCCUCCGGCUUAACAAACACAAAUGCUUGAGAUUCCUCAGAAGGAAAGGAAUUCACAGCAGCUGAUCCAACAUUAGUAUCUUCCGAUUCCAAUGUUUUCUCCUGUCUCCACAUUUCAGAAUCCUCUUCACUAAAUGGCAGAUCAACAUCCUUGCCACUGGAGAUAAAGGUUGACAAAUGCUCUGCAGCUUCCUUUGCCCGGUUCAGCAAGCAUAGAGCUUCAGCAGCAUACACAUUACCAAGAAAGAUGUAUAUCCUAGAACAUUCUUGGACUUUCAAGAGAGAUCGUGCAAUUGUAAGAGCCUUCAAUGGAUUUCCCAAUUCCAGCUCUACAAAAGCCAAAUCAGCCAAUGCAGCUUGCUCAAUCAUCAGGUUCUCUUUUCUACAUGUGGCUUCAUACUCGCCGAGAGAAUUCAAGAAGGCGGCAUUCUGACUGCUUGUACCCUUUUGCUCUUUCACCUCCCCAUUUGCAUUAACCUGACCAGAUGCUGGCACGUUCAGUGACUUAGGUUCAGUUGAUCCAUGCUUGGAUGGUACUACUUCUCUUGUUUCACUUUCUUCCACACCAGAAACAUGAGACUGUGUGGACUUGUUACCUUUUGAUUCAGAACUGUUCAAUAAAUGCAAAGCAUUCAGAAGACACUGACGAGCAAGUUGUACCGAUAGCUUCAGUUGUCUAUCCUUAGUAGCCAAAUCUUCCUUACCUGAAAAACUUUCUUGUCCAUUUCUUAAUAAUCCAUUUUCCAUAACAAGUUGCCUCCAUUUUCCUUGUCCAACAACAUGUACUUUAACUUCAGACCUGUCAGAAGCAGCAACACCACUGGACUUGAGCAGUCCCUGCUCAAGUGCCAUUAGACAACAUUCUGCAACUCGUAACCAUAAAAGAGGCCUACUGUGGAAAACCUGACUAGCCUUAUAGAAACAGCUUGCAGCCAGCAAUGGUUUCCCACAAGCCAGGUACUGC
rnacentral:misc_RNA from 1 species